GUGGGGAAUAUUGGGCAAUGGGGGGAACCCUGACCCAGCGACGCCGCGUGGGUGAAGAAAUCCUUCGGGAUGUAAAGCCCUGUUGUAUGGGAAGAGCGGAAGACGGUACCAUACGAGGAAGCCCCGGCAAACUACGUGCCAGCAGCCGCGGUAAUACGUAGGGGGCAAGCGUUGUCCGGAAUUACUGGGCGUAAAGCGCACGCAGGCUGAAUUAUAAGUCGGUAGUAAAAGGCGGGGGCUCAACUUCCGUAUAUCUAUCGAUACUGUAAAUCUAGAGUAUGUGAGAGGGAAGCGGAAUUCCCGGUGUAGCGGUGAAAUGCGUAGAUAUCGGGAGGAACUCCAGUGGCGAAGGCGGCUUCCUGGCACAAUACUGACGCUCAUGUGCGAAAGCUAGGGCAGCGAACGGGAUUAGAAACCCUUGUAGUCC
rnacentral:rRNA from 1 species